rnacentral:tRNA from 1 species
GGCGGUAUAGCUUAGUGGUAGAGCAUUUGCCUAGCAUGUGUAAGGCCCUGGGGUUCAAUCCCCAGCACUGUCC